rnacentral:rRNA from 1 species
CCGGCACGGGUGAGUAACACGUAUCCAACCUGCCGUCUACUCUUGGACAGCCUUCUGAAAGGAAGAUUAAUACAAGAUGGCAUCAUGAGUCCGCAUGUUCACAUGAUUAAAGGUAUUCCGGUAGACGAUGGGGAUACGUUCCAUUAGAUAGUAGGCGGGGUAACGGCCCACCUAGUCUUCGAUGGAUAGGGGUUCUGAGAGGAAGGUCCCCCACAUUGGAACUGAGACACGGUCCAA